rnacentral:rRNA from 1 species
UACGUAGGGUGUAAGCGUUAAUCGGAAUUACUGGGCGUAAAGCGUGCGCAGGCGGUUCGCUAAGACCGAUGUGAAAUCCCCGGGCUUAACCUGGGAACUGCAUUGGUGACUGGCGGGCUAGAGUAUGGCAGAGGGGGGUAGAAUUCCACGUGUAGCAGUGAAAUGCGUAGAGAUGUGGAGGAAUACCGAUGGCGAAGGCAGCCCCCUGGGCCAAUACUGACGCUCAUGCACGAAAGCGUGGGGAGCAAACAGG